rnacentral:rRNA from 1 species
UUGGGGUGCUCGAGUGGCGAACGGGUGAGUAACACGUGAGUAACCUGCCCUUGACUUUGGGAUAACUUCAGGAAACUGGGGCUAAUACCGGAUAGGAGCUCCUGCUGCAUGGUGGGGGUUGGAAAGUUUCGGCGGUUGGGGAUGGACUCGCGGCUUAUCAGCUUGUUGGUGGGGUAGUGGCUUACCAAGGCUUUGACGGGUAGCCGGCCUGAGAGGGCGACCGGCCACAUUGGGACUGAGAUACGGCCCAG